rnacentral:rRNA from 1 species
GACGAACGCUGGCGGCGUGCCUAAUACAUGCAAGUAGAACGCUGAAGAGAGGAGCUUGCUCUUCUUGGAUGAGUUGCGAACGGGUGAGUAACGCGUAGGUAACCUGCCUGGUAGCGGGGGAUAACUAUUGGAAACGAUAGCUAAUACCGCAUAAAAUGGAUUAUCGCAUGAUAAUCCAUUGAAAGGUGCAAAUGCAUCACUACCAGAUGGACCUGCGUUGUAUUAGCUAGUUGGUGGGGUAACGGCUCACCAAGGCGACGAUACAUAGCCGACCUGAGAGGGUGAUCGGCCACACUGGGACUGAGACACGGCCCAGACUCCUACGGGAGGCAGCAGUAGGGAAUCUUCGGCAAUGGACGGAAGUCUGACCGAGCAACGCCGCGUGAGUGAAGAAGGUUGUCGGAUCGGAAAGCUCUGUUGUAAGAGAAGAAAGAGUGUGAGAGUGGAAAGUUCACACUGUGACGGUAUCUUACCAGAAAGGGACGGCUAACUACGUG